rnacentral:rRNA from 1 species
UAAACUGAACGACUCUCGGCAACGGAUAUCUCGGCUCUCGCAUCGAUGAAGAACGUAGCGAAAUGCGAUACUUGGUGUGAAUUGCAGAAUCCCGUGAACCAUCGAGUCUUUGAACGCAAGUUGCGCCCGACGCCUUUUGGUUGAGGGCACGUCUGCUUGGGUG